rnacentral:tRNA from 1 species
GAGAGAGUAACAUACAUAAGAACUGCUAAUUCUUAUACCUGAAAUUAACCCCUCAGCUCUCUCA